CUGAAUGUUUUCCCAUCAUUAAGAAUCCUCCAAUCUUUUGAAUAAUAAUGGCACACUGGCUGAACCUCAUCUCCUUGUUAAUUGUCCUCAAAGGUGUCCAAUCUGAAGUUCAAUUGGUGGAGUCCGGAGGGGAUGUGAGAAGACCUGGAGAGUCCCUCCGUCUCUCCUGCCAAACCUCUGGAUUCAUCUUCGCCAGCUUUUACAUGGGCUGGGUGAGAGAGGCUCCAGGGAAAGGACUGGAAUGGAUGGCACAUAUGUGGUCUUCAAAUAUUUAUUACGCUGACAAAGUCAAGGGCCGCUUCACCAUCUCCAGGGACGACGCCAAAAGCCAGCUGUAUCUGCAAAUGAACAGCCUCAAAGCUGAAGACACGGCCAUCUAUUACUGUGCUAGAUUGCACAGCGAGAGGAAGUAUAUGCGAAGCCAAGCAAAAACCGCCUAUGUCACCCAGCAGUUCUGCAAAUUUAUUGCCUAA